UAGAGUUGCGAAAGCAUUUUGUGAUGGAUUCAAAUAAUGUAUCACCUGCAACGACGAGUGUUAGCAUCGAGGAGAGCUUCAAGUUUAAUGGGAAGGGGACACCUUUGGUUCUGCUUCUGGUUGUCAUGCUUGGGUUGAUCAUAUAUGCAACUGUGUAUAAUUGUAAGAGAGGCUGUGCAGAUCCCAAAGUCGAAGCUGAAGUUGAGCUUGGAGAAUGAUAUUAUCCGAUGGACGUCUCUCUGCUUCAUGGUAUGUUGUACCUACCUGUGUUAUCACUUUAAUCAACUUUUGGUGCUGCUUACCUUUCCUAAUGACAUUUGCUUUGUCACAACAAGCAGCUCUCCCCAUUUCUCUAUAUAAUCCUUCAGCUUAGAGUCAUUUUUUUGUCACAACAAGGAACUCUUCCCAUUUCUCUGUAUAAUCCUUCAGCUUAGAGUCUUUUUCAGGAGACCAUGGCCCUUUCUUCACAUUUGUUUUGUCACAACAAGGAACUCUCCCCAUUUCUCUAUAUGAUCCUUCAGCUUAGAGUCUUCUUCAGGAGACCAUGGCCCUUUCUUGGCAUUUGCUUUGUCACAACAAGGAACUCUCCCCAUUUCUCUAUAUGAUCCUUCAGCUUAGUCUUCUUCAGGAGACCAUGGCCCUUUCUUGGCAUUUGCUUUGUCACAACAAGGAGCUCUCCCCAUUUCUCUAUAUGAUCCUUCAGCUUAGCGUCUUCUUCAGGAGACCAUGGCCCUUUCUUCACAUUUGCUUUGUCACAACAAGGAGCUCUCCCCAUUUCUCUAUAUAAUCUUUCAGCUUAGAGUCUUUUAGGAGACCAUGGCCCUUUCUUCACAUUUUCUUCGUCACAACAAGGAAAUCUCCCCAUUUCUCUCUAUCAUCCUUCAGCUUAGAGUCUUCUUCGUGAGACCAUGGCCCUUUUUUCACAUUUGCUUUGUCACAACAAGGAGCUCUCCCCAUUUCUCUAUAUAAUCUUUCAGCUUAGAGUCUUUUUCAGGAGACCAUCGCCCUCUCUUCACAUUUGCUUUGUCACAACAAGGAACUCUUCCCAUUUCUCUAUAUAAUCCUUCAGCUUAGAGUCUUCUUCAGGAGACCAUGGCCCUUUCUUCACAUUUGCUUUGUCACAACAAGGAACUCUUCCCAUUUCUCUAUAUAAUCCUUCAGCUUAGAGUCUUCUUCAGGAGACCAUGGCCCUUUCUUCACAUUUGCUUUGUCACAACAAGGAGCUCUCCCCAUUUCUCUAUAUAAUCCUUCAGCUUAGAUUUACUCACUAAGAUGUUUACUUUCAUUUUCUUGAAUGCCAAACAGGUUGUUAUUCCAGGAAGCAUCCAUGCUGGGUUAUGUACGAAUUAAUGAGUAGUUGAAUUAUAUUAACGAGACUUUUGUAGUAAUGUGGGUUUGAAAUUUAGUACAUUGAAUUAUAUCAAUGAGUUGUUGAAUUUCAGUGUGUUUAUUUUAAGUACCAUGUAUUUUCUAUGUCAUCACGUAUGUAUUUGGGGUGG
rnacentral:lncRNA from 1 species